UAGUCAUAUGCUUGUCUCAAAGAUUAAGCCAUGCAUGUCUAAGUAUAAACCAAACAUUUGUACAAGGUGAAACUGCGAAUGGCUCAUUAUAUCAGUUAUUGUUUAUUUGAUGAUACCUUGCUUUUAAGGCCACUUGGAUAACCGUGGUAAUUCUAGAGCUAAUACAUGCACAAGAAAUCCCGACUUCAUUAGGAAGGGAAGUAUUUAUUAGAUAAAAACCAAUCACUGUAGCAAUACAGUGCACAAUAAUAUUGGUGAUUCAUGAUAACUUUGCGAA
rnacentral:rRNA from 1 species